UACGUAGGCAGCGAGCGUUGUUCGGAGUUACUGGGCGUAAAGGGUGUGUAGGCGGUUCUUUAAGUUUGGUGUGAAAUCUCCCGGCCUCAACCGGGAGGGGUGGCGCCGAAUACUGAGGGACUAGAGUAUGGGAUGGGAAAGUGGAAUUCCUGGUGUAGCGGUGAAAUGCGUAGAUAUCAGGAGGAACACCUGUGGUGUAGACGCUUUCUGGACCAUAACUGACGCUGAGAACACGAAAAGGCGUGGAGUAGCAAACAGG
rnacentral:rRNA from 1 species